rnacentral:rRNA from 1 species
GUGUCAGCCGCCGCGGUAAUACGUAGGGUGCAAGCGUUAAUCGGAAUUACUGGGCGUAAAGGGUGCGCAGGCGGUUCUGUAAGUCAGAUGCGAAAUCCCCGGGCUUAACCUGGGAACUGCGUUUGAAACUACAGGACUAGAGUGUAGCAGAGGGAGGCGGAAUUCCAUGUGUAGCAGUGAAAUGCGUAGAGAUAUGGAGGAACAUCGAUGGCGAAGGCAGCCUCCUGGGUUAACACUGACGCUCAUGCACGAAAGCGUGGGGAGCAAACAGGAUUAGAUACCCCUGUAGUCC